ensembl:lncRNA IRAIN IGF1R antisense imprinted non-protein coding RNA
GGGAAGCCUCCCUUGGCCGCGGUCCCGACCCGGGAACACGCCGCAUGCACUCGGGAUCAGCGGCUACUGCGGAAACCCACCCGCACCUGUCUCGGGUCCUCCCAGGCACGUUCCUCUUGCUUCGUUUGCUACGUAAGUGACUGGAAACCAGUACCGACCCUAAGUCUCCGCGGUUGUUUUCUUGAAUGUGCAGGAGGAGAGGUUUCCCCAAAGCGAGACUCCCCUAGGACUGCCAUCUAAUGAAUAAAUGCUGCGGAGACCAGGUCCUCAAAGAGGGAAACAGCCCAGCAGUGGCAGGAGAGAGGAGUUUGAAAUACGUGGACUUUUACAAACAGUGAUUGGACCAUGUGUCGCCCUUAAUGUGGUCCGGUUUCAUGACUCAGGCUAAUUGAUGCCAGUAAUAAAUUUUUUUAAGAUAGCUAAUAAAAGAGUUGUGAAUUGUCGAGAUAAGAAGUGGUUGUCUCAAACAAUCGGGUAGGAUGGUAGAAGGGACCUGAUGUAAAGGAAGGUAGUAGGUUUCUUUUACUCUCUAAUUCUAAAAUACUUCUGCAUUAGAACGUGUAUCCAUCGUUCGUAAAUAAUUUUUUAAGAGCUGAAAACAAGUCAAAAGCUAUCAUAACGGAAACUUAGCCCUUUUUUUCUAAAGUUGUUUCCUAGAUCAUUUUCCUCCUUGGAAAUUUCUAGCUCAAUUCAGAGUCAGUUGUAUAGAAAGAAAAUAAACCUUGUUUUACCUAAGAAAGUUAUUCAUAUGAUGGGAUGGUUUUGUUUAACUGAAAUUCAGCUUGAUUUUUAAAUAAAGAGUUUCAGUUUUGGAUGUUCCUAGAUUUAACAGUGAAAUAAAUUUAUUAGAAUCUUAAAAUGUAUUAUUUAAAAAUUAGGCACUACACAUGAAGAAUUAAAGUCCAGUCUACUAAUUUUUAAAUAUUUCUUAAGUUCUCUGCAUGAGGUUGGUCUUGAUUCCUGCAGAUCCACUCUGGAGUUAAAUGCAAAGGAAUAUUGAUAUAUAAUUUCAUUAUACUUGAUUUCAGAAUUUUUAAUACAUACUUGUAAGACAAAAAUUUAGAGCUGAUUUUUAAAAGGCUAGUGCUAAUAUAAAAUCUUCAAAUACUACCCAAUGUAUUUUUAGUAUUAGUAAUAAAUAUGCCUGUUUAUUUGUCCCCAAGAACAUAAAGAGGUCUAUAGAAUUUUUAAAUGUAUAUAGGUUGUUGUAGGGGUUGUAGGAUUUGUUUUUGUGUGUUUUUUUUUUACUAAAAUGAUUUUUAUUUGUGAAUUUUUUAAAUGUUUGUGUUUUCCUGAAGUAGUAGGAAAUCAAUCGUAUUAAGUUAUUUUAAACAGUGAAGUGGGAGAUGUAUCAUUAUAUAGCUUAAUAUUUAGGGAAAAAAAAGGAACAAAAAUUUAGGUUGUCUUUACGCUCUAACUUGACCACAUGGACAAAGGAGGUGAUUUGUAUUUCUUCAAUGAUUAUAUUUUACAUACACAAGUCAAACUUAUUUUUUCAACCUUGAAAUAAAAUCAUGUAGACAAAAA